GCACAGAUAUCCUGAUCUCAGCAGAUUAAGAGGUGUUUGGGAAAUAGCAUGAUGAUUGCAGCAGUAGAAUCUGUUCUUACAAUGUUCUGGGGAAACUGGUGAGCUACGGUGAUGGACAUGGUACACAGUAGCUGAUUGUCCUACAGAAUGAUAAACACGUCCUGCUAUUCGUCAUUCCAGACCGGCUAUAAAGAUUGUUUCAACAAAAUACAUUGUUAUGCCAACACAAUGAUUUCUGGAGUUUUGUUUAAUUCUACUCAUAAAAGGAGUAUGUGUCUGUGCCAACUAUUAUUGAAGGCUAAAUCUUGUCUUAACAUGUUUGAGAAUGACAUUACAAGGCUGGGGUUCUUCAGCCCCACUGCUCAGUUGAGACUGGAAGGUGUCGACGUCCCCUCGUGUAAGCAGCCUUCUCUUUUCCAUCCUAAAAACAAGGCUGUUGGUCUUGAAGAGCUCUAGAGUCUUCUUUGGAGCAGGAACCUGACAUUUUGUACCGAAAUAGCCUAAAACCAGCCUCAGGGUCAUACCGUCACUUUAAAAAUCAACACAUCAAGCAUUUAACACCUGGUUUCAUAGCUGAAACUUGCAGCAUGUUUUGAAGGCAGCCAAGAAGGACCUUUAACGGCUCUCCUGGAAGUCGUUCAAAAACCACUCCCAUUGACUGCAUCUGACAUUGUACAAGGCCCCAAAAGCAAUUUCCAGGGAGGUAUAAGUUCACCAAAGAGGUGCUUGAACGAGUGGUUGUAACGCUAAGGGGCUGGAUGUAACAAGGCGUGGAUGUGACCAAAAUGGAACCUGGAUUGACUUCUGGACCAGAGUCAGGAAUGGUGAUCCUGGAAACUCGCCCCUCGUGCCUUAGCUAAUCUUUGAGGACAUUUUGUUGGAAUACCUGUAGUUGUGCUUCUGCAUAGGCACAGACCAACCCAGUCUCGGAGGUCUGGGCGGUUUGGUGCUUCAUUUCUAACAAAGCUUCAACAGCCGGGAUCCAGGAGCUGUGCGUGCCUGUGCGUCCCAGAAGGCACUUCCAGCGCGAGCUCCCUACGAUCCAGCAGGAUCUGGCUCCCUGCAACACGCACGGGAGGCUGUCGGUGGUGUGAACAAGGAUGCUGUCCUUUCAGCCCCCUCCUCUGCCUCGGGGACUUCAAACCCAGGUAUUGCCUUGGAGAAGCUCCUUGCCUGCUUGGGUUCUCACCGGGAGUGCCCAGCUUGUACUGGCACGCGGAGCCCGCGUCCGCAGCGUAAGUACCAAGGAGCCGUGUGUGCCUCAGGAGGUCCUGCAGCCACAGAGGGUGUUGGCUGCUGCAGGACUGGGGGAGCCUUUCUGCACACCUGCCCGUGCUGAAGCGUCUGCUUUUGGCCACAGCCACGUGGGCUAGCGUGGGGAACAGACCCUGCGCCCUCGCUCCCAUGUUCCCACACCAGGCCAACACCAGUUCUGGACUGGACACCAGUGACUACAUAUUUGGACACUGUGGCUCCCCUCUUCCCAUUUGGAAGCUGGUCUUUCACCGUUCCCUUGUUUCCUCUGACUUCUCAGCUCUGUAUGGGAAGUGCCAGAUCCUCCCUCUCUUUCACAAACCUGUGUCUUGAAAUCUGUUUUCUUGGGAAUGAUAUGGGUACAUAAAUAAAGCAGUUGACAUCAGUUCUGAGAAUAUUUUCUUGUAGGUGGAACUAUUAUUCCUCCAUAAUACUGUAACAUUGCAGAGAGUCAGUGAUUUGCUAUGCUAAUUAGUUGCUGAAGGAAAAAUGGGAAUUAUUGUGGCUAUGUGUUUCCAUCUAAUACAUGUGGUUUAAAAAGACUAAAGGGCAACAGAAGAUAAGCAAUUACAAAAAGCACUUCUGCUGCAAGUAAUGAAAGAGACAGGAAGCUACAGAUUCAGAUGAAAAUAUUUCUGGAAGAUUUCCCUACAGCGUUUGGUGGGUUGUGUGUGGGUUUUUCUGUUUGGUUUUUGUUUUUUUUUUUUGGGGGGGAGGGGGGCUUUAUAAAGUGCUUGUUGUGCUGUUUUAUGUGAUGCCAUUCUCCAAUGAAAGCAAAACCCAACAACUGAAGUGACAGAUGAUAUAAAUGAUAUAUAUUUACUUACUCUGAUCCAAGCUUAAUUCCAGAAACUUGGCAUCUUGUUUAUCAGCUUUGCUAACAACUACACAUGAAAACCAAAACAGAGCUACCUCCAAUUUUGAUUAACACUUCCUAGGUGCAGGAAUCUUUCUGUUGCUAUUAAUUUUUUGUACAAGUAAUUUUCUUGACUCACAACUGAAGAUUACCCUGUUGCUUAAUUUAUUUGGUCAUUAAUUUGGCACUGUGGGCAGAUGUGAUGUAAAGCUCUUAACUAUUCUGGGGUUAGACGGAGGCAACCCAGAAGGUUUAACAAGGCCUCCAUCCCAAGGGAGUGUAGAUACUUUUAAUUAAUUUAAUUAAAGGGAACGUUUUGUACUGGACUAAAAGGAUUAUUUUGUUGACUAAGACCUACGUAUUAGUUUAUUCUUAAAGGGAAAUAACCAGAUGAAACCCAAAAUUGUUUACCAUGUACAAAAAUAACACUGAUUUUUUUUAGUUUGAUAAGAAACCCAAAUUUCUGUCACUGUUGUAUUUAAUUUCCAGUGGACAAUUAAGCAAUGCCGAUACGCUGAUUGGAUUACAAGUUGCAAUGUGUAUCUUAAGCUGUUUAGUAAUGUCAAUAAAUAUUUAUGUUAGCUGUAA